rnacentral:rRNA from 1 species
UACGUAGGGUGCGAGCGUUAAUCGGAAUUACUGGGCGUAAAGCGUGCGCAGGCGGUUUUGUAAGUCAGAUGUGAAAUCCCCGGGCUUAACCUGGGAACUGCGUUUGAAACUACAAGGCUAGAGUGUGGCAGAGGGGGGUGGAAUUCCACGUGUAGCAGUGAAAUGCGUAGAGAUGUGGAGGAACACCGAUGGCGAAGGCAGCCCCCUGGGUUAACACUGACGCUCAGGCACGAAAGCGUGGGGAGCAAAC